AACGAACGCUGGCGGCGUGCCUAACACAUGCAAGUCGAGCGCGAAUGGAGCAAUCCUAGUAGAGCGGCGCACGGGUGCGUAACACGUGGGUAAUCUGCCCUGGAGCCCGGGAUAACCUGCCGAAAGGCAAGCUAAUACCGGAUAAGCCUACGGUCCCCUCGGGGACUGAAGGAAAAGGUGGCCUCUGCAUGCAAGCUAUCACUUCAGGAUGAGCCCGCGGCCCAUCAGCUAGUUGGCGGGGUAACGGCCCACCAAGGCAACGACGGGUAGCUGGUCUGGGAGGACGAUCAGCCACACUGGAACUGAGACACGGUCCAGACUCCUACGGGAGGCAGCAGUGGGGAAUUUUGCGCAAUGGGCGAAAGCCUGACGCAGCAACGCCGCGUGUGUGAUGGAGGUCUUCGGAUUGUAAAGCACUUUCGACCGGGACGAAAACCUGCUGGCCAAUAUCCAGCAGCUUGACGGUACCGGGAGAAGAAGCACCGGCUAACUCUGUGCCAGCCGCCGCUGUAACAC
rnacentral:rRNA from 1 species